rnacentral:lncRNA from 1 species
GUUUCCAUGGAAAAUUAAAAAUAACAUAAAUGACAAUUAUUUGUCUGUUGACAGAAAAUAAAAUUAUAUCCUUCUGGUACCCCAAAAUCAUCGAAUGUUAUACAUACUGUUGGGUAACAUUAAUAAUUAUGUUUUGACACGAAUUCCAAUAUUUUCCUUUCAAUAUAUACAAACAAACAUCUGCAAUGAAUUCAUUCACCGCAUACACAGUUCAUAGGUUAAACGGACGAUGCUAAAAGCUAUUUGAUUUGAUUAGCAUGUGUAUCACAUACAUGUAAAUGUAUUUUGAAGAAAUUCCACAAUGAAUGUUACCUAAUUAUCAUUAUAUAUAUAAACAAAACAUUUACAAGUACAUGUACACAAACGUUUCGUUAUAGCUGUCGUUCUAGUUAUCCUUCAUCCUUAUCUUUAACAUGU